AAUCAACGCUGGCGGCGUGCCUCAGACAUGCAAGUCGAACGCUGCUGUUCGCCUUCGGGUGGACAGCGGAGUGGCGCACGGGUGAGUAACACGUAGGUAAUCUACCUUUGGGUGGGGAAUAACAGCCGGAAACGGCUGCUAAUACCGCAUAAUGCAGCGGCAUCACAUGAUGACAGUUGUUAAAGCGAGGGAUCGUAAGACCUCGCGCCUGAAGAGGAGCCUGCGGCAGAUUAGGUAGUUGGUGAGGUAAUGGCUCACCAAGCCUGCGAUCUGUAACCGGCCUGAGAGGGCGGUCGGUCACACUGACACUGGCAUACGGGUC
rnacentral:rRNA from 1 species